UGCUGAGCGCGUCUUGGAGACCGCUCAAGCACACCGUUUAUCUUUUAUGACGAGGCGUGAUCGGUCCCGAAACCGGUUCCACUUUUCGGGUUCAUGCCCGGCGCUCCCCGGCGAGAUACAAAAUCAAUCCGAGCAUGGUUAGCGCCGCCUGUACGACGCCAACGGCAAGGGUCGGGCUCGCAAUCGAUGCGGUCAGNCACGCCGAUCGACGCGCCGGCCAUUUGCAGAAAUCCCAGCAGCGCCGAGGCAAGGCCGGCG
rnacentral:misc_RNA from 1 species